UACGGAGGGUGCAAGCGUUAUCCGGAUUCACUGGGUUUAAAGGGUGCGUAGGUGGGUUGGUAAGUCAGUGGUGAAAUCCCUGAGCUUAACUUGGGAACUGCCAUUGAUACUAUCAGUCUUGAAUACCGUGGAGGUCAGCGGAAUAUGUCAUGUAGCGGUGAAAUGCUUAGAUAUGACAUAGAACACCAAUUGCGAAGGCAGCUGGCUACUCGGAUAUUGACACUGAGGCACGAAAGCGUGGGGAUCAAACAGG
rnacentral:rRNA from 1 species